GAUGAACGCUGACAGAAUGCUUAACACAUGCAAGUCGAUGGGGAAGUGGUGCUUGCACCAUGGCAACCAUGGCGGACGGGUGAGUAACGCGUAAGGGACUUACCUGCAGGACUGGGAUAACAGGGGGAAACUUCUGACAAGACCGGAUAAUGUCAUGGAGCUGCAUGGCUUUAUGAUGAAAGGAGACGCCUGCGGAGAGCCUUGCGUCCUAUUAGCUAGUUGGUGAGGUAAUGGCUCACCAAGGCGAAGAUAGGUAGCCGGCCUGAGAGGGUGGACGGCCACAAGGGGACUGAGAUACGGCCCUUACUCCUACGGGAGGCAGCAGUGGGGAAUAUUGGACAAUGGGGGCAACCCUGAUCCAGCAAUUCUGUGUGCACGAAGAAGGUUUUCGGAGUGUAAAGUGCUUUCAGCAGGGAAGAAGUAAGUGACGGUACCUGCAGAAGAAGCGACGGCUAAAUACGUG
rnacentral:rRNA from 1 species